rnacentral:rRNA from 1 species
UGCGUAGGCGGCUUUGCAAGUCAGAUGUGAAAUCUAUGGGCUCAACCCAUAAACUGCAUUUGAAACUGUAGAGCUUGAGUGAAGUAGAGGCAGGCGGAAUUCCCCGUGUAGCGGUGAAAUGCGUAGAGAUGGGGAGGAACACCAGUGGCGAAGGCGGCCUGCUGGGCUUUAACUGACGCUGAGGCAAGACGUGGGUAGCAAAC